rnacentral:rRNA from 1 species
AUACGUAGGGAGCGAGCGUUGUCCGGAUUUACUGGGUGUAAAGGGUGCGUAGGCGGGACUGCAAGUCAGACGUGAAAUACCGAGGCUUAACCUCGGGGCUGCGUUUGAAACUGUAGUUCUUGAGUGAAGUAGAGGCAGGCGGAAUUCCUAGUGUAGCGGUGAAAUGCGUAGAUAUUAGGAGGAACACCAGUGGCGAAGGCGGCUUACUGGUCCAUUACUGACGCUGAGGUGCGAAAGCGUGGGGAGC